rnacentral:rRNA from 1 species
UAGGGAAUCUUCGGCAAUGGACGAAAGUCUGACCGAGCAACGCCGCGUGAGUGAAGAAGGUUUUCGGAUCGUAAAACUCUGUUGUUAGAGAAGAACAAGGACGUUAGUAACUGAACGUCCCCUGACGGUAUCUAACCAGAAAGCCACGGCUAACUACGUGCCAGCAGCCGCGGUAAUACGUAGGUGGCAAGCGUUGUCCGGAUUUAUUGGGCGUAAAGCGAGCGCAGGCGGUUUCUUAAGUCUGAUGUGAAAGCCCCCGGCUCAACCGGGGAGGGUCAUUGGAAACUGGGAGACUUGAGUGCAGAAGAGGAGAGUGGAAUUCCAAGUGUAGCGGUGAAAUGCGUAGAGAUAUGAAGGAACACCAGUGGCGAAGGCGGCUCUCUGGUCUGUAACUGACGCUGAGGCUCGAAAGCGUGGGGAGCAAACAGG